AGCGACCGCUAUCGAAGUUCGAUUAAGACAUGCGAGUCUGAGCAUUAGCUCGGCGUACCGCUCAGUAACACGUGGGUAACCUGCCCUAUCGUUUUGAAUAACCUCGGGAAACUGAGAACAAUACAUCAUAGUCCACUACGCCUGGAACGGUGAGUGGAUGAAGGUAGGAUGGGCCUGCGGCGUAUCAGGUUGUAGGGGGUGUAAUGGACCUCCUAGCCAUCGACGCGUACGGGUGUUGGGAGACAUAGCCCGGAGAUGGAUUCUGAGACACGAAUCCAGGCCCUACGGGGCGCAGCAGUUACGAAAACUUGGCAAUGCGGGAAACCGUGACCAGGGAACUCCAAGUGAGUCUCUUUUAGGGGCUCUUUUCUUGACUCUAAAACGGUCUUGGAAUAAGGGGUGGGUAAGGACGGUGCCAGCCGCCGCGGUAAUACCGGCGCCUCAAGUGGUCGUCGCUUUUAUUGGGCCUAAAACGUCCGCAGCCGGUUUGGUACAUUCGUGGGUAAAUCAGCUCGCUCAACGAGUUGAAUUCUGCGAGGACGGCCAGACUAGGGACCGGGAGAGGUGUGGGGAACUCUCAGGGUAGGGGUAAAAUCCUGUCAUCCUGAGAGGACCACCUGUUGCGAAGGCGCCACACUAGAACGGAUCCGACGGUCAGGGACGAAGCCUAGGGGCACGAACCGGAUUAGAUACCCGGGUAGUCCUAGGUGUAAACGCUGUGGACUUGGUGUUGGGGAAGCCCAGAGCUUUCCCAGUGCCGUAGCGAAGGUGUUGAGUCCACUGCCUGGGGAGUACGGUCGCAAGGCUGAAACUUAAAGGAAUUGGCGGGGGAGCACUGCAACCGGAGGAGUGUGCGGUUU
rnacentral:rRNA from 1 species